UGUUCGUUGCUCCUACACAGACUGUGCUCUUGAACGCAUCACAUGAUGUGGUCCAAAGGAGGAUGUUGUUGUUAGCUUCUGCAGGAAACACACUAUUGCACACAUUUGGAGCUUAUAAAGUGAUGGGCUGAAAUCCACCUGCAUUCAAGAUGACGAGACACAGACAGUGCAUCCUGUGUGAAACCGUCUGCGCUUCCAAGCAGGAGAUGGACGAGCACAUGAGGAGCAUGCUUCACCACCGGGAGCUGGAGAAGCUUAAGGGCCGGGACUGCGGACACGAGUGCAGAGUGUGUAAGGUGAAGGUGGUGAGCCUGACCGAUUACGCCGGCCACAUCUCCAGCACCACGCACAAACAAAACGUGGAGGCGGCGGACAAACAGCGGGCCGGAAACGACCACGACGAGGAAUACUUCGACCAGACGCUGGUGGACUUGAUCGAAAAAAGAAAAGAACAGAUCAGAAAAGAGAAGGAGGCUGCAGCUGCUAGGCUGGCGAAAGAAGAAGAAGAACGGAAGAGGAAGGAAGAGUUUCAGCAGAGGCUAAACCAACUUAAGGAACGUUACCGCCUGGAGCGUAUGUGGCAGGCUCCUCCGCAGGGCUUCGGUGGACCCGGUCACCACAGGUCUUGGCACAGGAGCAGCUAUUAUGAUGACAGCAGAGAGGAGGCGAGACACUGGCAUCAAAACCAACAGUGGAGGAGUGCCACGUGGCACGCUCAGGAACCCCCCCGUUUACAGAAAUGGGCAACUGUAGAGUUUUCCAAUAAUAAUUCAUAUCCUGUGAAUAGCAACAGGACAUGGGGCAAUGGCGGUCAGCAAAGUCGACUGCCUUGGCUCAGCAAUGGAGGCAGCAGUAAUGGGCUCUAUGGUCACAACAACAUCGCCAGGUAUGCCCCAAAUGCUAGGCCGCACAGUUUCAUGGGGUGUAAUCCUGUAUGUACCAACGCUGCAAAUUUUUUAGGCCAGACUUUUACCCACUUUGAAGGUAAAGGAAAUGUCAGAAAUGCUCAGCGGGAUGCCAGGCUUCAACAUGGAGAGGCAUCACUGGCCGACUCAGACUACCACAGUAAAAACUCUAAAACACUCGGCAGCAAUCCAAAGCUAGACAAAAGCUGUCGCUGGUCACCGUACCCCGUUGCGUCCGGAUCACACGUAGAGACCCACCAAAAUACGUCAGAGAAGCACCAAAUGGCUUCGAAGCCUCAGAGACAGCCCCAAUGUGAGCGCGCACCUGUGGACUCAAGUCUGCAAAACGUGGAAAAGGACGGGAGUCAUCCGAUAAAACCCACAACCCAAACCCAGCAUGUCAGUGACGGAAGCUGUAGCGGCACUAAAGGUAACGGUUCUCAGAGAGAUGGCGACCAAAACGGUGCGUCUGGGUUUUCUGGUGAGAAGGCAAAUAAACCACCACUGCAAGUAGAUCAGAAGAGUUCCUCAGUUUCUGGGGCUAAAGGCGCCGCUCAACACAGCAAGGUCUCCAGUCAAUCAAAACCAGGUGGGAAGCAAAGUGGGACCAAGGUGCCUGAUGGGUACCUCACAUCGAGGCAGGAGAAGUGCUCUCCGGAGUCUUUUCGCUCAGUCAGGCAGAUUGGUUUUGAAAGAAAAGGCUCUUUGGAAAGAACACACCACCUUGGGGAGCAACAGAACCAGGGGGAACCUUUAAAAGAGAGAAGUGCGAGUGAAAGUUCUGGUAAAGUGACAUCACCCGUUGUGUUCAGGCAAGAAAAAGCUCCGUCGGCUUCUGCAGAAGACGGCACGUUUGUCCAGUCUCUUCACGUGAGCACCUCUACCACAGAAGGAGUAGAGUCUGCUUCUGCAGCCAAAAGGGACGAGGAGAACAGGAACGGAGCGGAGACGCAAAGCCCCACGGCGGUACAGGCCGAGGCCAUGCAGGUUUCCGAGGCCGGGCAGAGCUCGGAGAGCGACGCCGGCAGAACCGGUGAGGCGCACGCCGCCUCGGGGUCGGACGCAACCGCUUUGUCCAAACUCGACCUCCCCCCUGUCCUAAAGUGGGACCUCACCAAGCACAUGAACUCUAAGAGCAAAGCAGCCGGUCACGAGCCAAACCUGAACAUUGCCAGACGCGUGAGAAACCUAAGCGAGUCGAAGCGAAGCGACACGGAAAAGGAUUCUGGCCUCAAGCCGACCGUGAGGCAACUCAUCAACUCGGCGAGCGCACGCCGCUCUGUGAACUGGGAGCAGGUUUAUCAGGAGGUCCGAAAGAAGCAGGACAAGGGGAAAGGCAUGCCAAGGUUUGGGAUUGAGAUGGUGCCAUAUGAGCAGGAGUCCCAAAGCCAGGAGGAGGACGGUCUACCCCUCAUUGAGGGUUUCCAGUGGGAGUCGUUGAUGGAAAUCACUUCCGAGAGCAAAUCUCGCAAACGCUCCUUGUCAGAAAGCAGUCUCGCACCUGCGGCGCCUCAUUCGUCAGUGUUCGGAUCCUCGAAAUCAGAGGAGACGGUGGAGAAGGAGGAGUCCGGGUCUACACUUCCUUCCGCUUCAGAAACGCAGGAGCGUCAGCCGGAAGAGGAAGUGAAGAACCAGAAGGACAAUCUACACUGCACAAUGGCGAAGGUUCUCCAGCGAGUUGAUUUGACGCUGGGGGACAGCAGCUCCGGGGCGGAGCAGUACGACGGGACGGGGAAGCGGCGGCGUGCGGCCGGGGACUCUACCCAAACAGGAUUGUCUUGUUUGGAGCACGACAGUAAAAGAAGAAAAGUCAAAUCAAAACGAGAGCGCUUGCAGAUCGACCAGCUGCUUGCAGUGUCUCUGCGGGAGGAGGAGCUGAGUCGGUCCUUGCAGAAUGUGGACACCAACCUGAUCCAGGCCCGCGCGGCGCUGGAGGCGGCCUUCGUGGAGGUGCAGCGACUCAUGGUGGUUAAACAGCAGAUUACUGUGGAGAUGAGCUCACUGAGAAACAAACGGAUAGAUUUGCUUAAAGGCAUGCAAGGUACUAUUGAGGAGGCGCCUGAGGCCAACCCGAAAGAAAAACACUUGGAUUCUUUUGGAGCGUUGCCGCUUGAAUCGUCCUCCUGCGUCAAAUGUCCCCCAGUUCCUUCCACCGUCGUUUUCAGUCCGAAUCGUGGCGCAGAGUGCGCCUCCCCUCCUUCCUCCAGCCUUCCUUUGGACGUCGUCAUCAAGGAGGAGCCCCAGUCUCCGGUCUGCGUCAGCUCCGCACCGGACCCUGAUCACAACGUAACCAACUGUGCUCACAGCACCACCCCGGACAACACAAACCCGUUGGGUGCUGCCUGCAGCUCGGGGUUAUCUCUUGACAGAAACCUUGAACCUCCAGACAGAAAAGGGAAGUUACCAGCACCGAUCGAAAAAUCUGAAAGGCCUUCGGAGGCUCCAUGGAAAACCUCGGCGAAGCUCCCCGAUGGCGCCGACGUCCGGCCUGCGCAACCCGCGGCGGCGUUUAACCUGCCGGUCUCUCCGUCUGAGCUGAGGAGCGGAAAGCGCGUGAGGAAGCUGAAGAAGAGGAAGGUGUUGAACAAGGCUCAGGGAGCGGAGCAGCUCCAGAGCAGCGACACAGAGAUGGACGAAGAGGCGUCCAGGCCCCGGUGGCUGCGGCAGCGCAGGAGGCCGAGCGGCGGCUCCCAGGUCAGCACCUCCAGCCUGCCGACGGACGAGGGGAGCAGGGAAACGCUCGGCGCGCCGUGUUUGGCCGUAAAAACCGAAAACGCGGAGUGGAAUUUUCCCGCAGAGAACUUUGAGGUCGCCGCGGCGGAUCAGCAGCCUCAGAAGGAUGCGUUCGUCCAAGCUCCGCCCCCUCCACCUCUUCUCCCAGACCAAUGUAAAUCUGAGCCACGCAGCCUGGCGUGCAACGAGGUUUCCUCCACCAGUGACAUCGAUCUGUGCAAAUCCUCUGAGAGUGAUUUGCCUUUUCCCAUCACGCUGCCCAGGACCUCAUCAGACGCAUUCUCUGACCACGGGGAGGACGAGGUCCCGACUGAAGGAACGUUCUCCGGCCACAAGGAGGCGGUGAAUGCCCUCCAGAUCCACAACGGGCUGCUGUACACUUGCUCCGGGGACCGAACCGUCCAGGCCUUCGACCUGGUGAGCCAUAAAUGCGUAGGUGUAUUUGAGGGUCACAGCUCCAAAGUGACCUGCCUGCUGGUGUCCGCGGCUCCAUCCCUGCACCGUCGCCUCUACUCCGGUUCCAGUGACCAGACCAUCCGCUGCUACAGUCUCAAGACGCGAGAAUUCGAGCAACAGUUCGCUUUGUCCGACCGAGUCCUCUGCCUUCACAGCCGGUGGAAGACUUUAUACGCCGGUCUGGCAAAUGGUACCGUGGUGACCUUUAACCUUAAGACAAACAAGCAGAUGGACGUGUUCGAGUGCCACGGGCCGCGCGCCGUGAGCUGUCUGGCCUCGUCGCAGGAGGGGGCCCAGAGGAUCCUGCUGGUCGGCUCCUACGACAACACGAUCAGCGUGAGAGCGGCCCACAACGGGCUGCUGCUGCGCACGCUGAAGGGCCACACCAAGAGCGUUCUCUGCAUGAAGGUGGUGAAUGAUCUGGUGAUCAGUGGAUCCAGUGAUCACUCUGUGUAUGCUCACAACAUCCAUACAGGGGAGCUUCUGCGCUCAUUUAAGGGUCACAGCCAUGCUGUUACCGUGGUGACCGUUCUUGGGAAAGUGAUGGUCACGGCCUGCCUGGACAAAGUGGUCAGAGUUUACGACCUGCAGACUCAGGACCAGCUGCAGGUCUAUGGUGGAUACAGUGACAUGGUGUUGUGCAUGGCCAUCCAUAAGAACAUGAUCUACACAGGAUGCUAUGACGGCAGCACGAAGGCCGUGAAGCUGAACCUGACGCAGAACCACCGUUGCUGGUCAAUGACUGCUGUGUUGACAGUGGCACGGCUGCCCGCUGGUGUUCGGGAUGAUGAAGCAUCUCCAGCAGCACCUGAUCAACAACCACACCAGCGGCAACUUCCAGACCUUUAAGUGCCGCUGGAAAAACUGUGAAGAGUUCUUCAGUGUACGCAACAGCUCCAAGCAGAUGGUGACGCUGCACAUGCAGAAACAUGCUGAGGAAGAGGCUGCAGCGGAGCCGUAAGGGGCCGGUGGUGGGAGCGUAUUUUCACUAUUAGCCCCCCUCUCCCUCUCUUCCCGUCUCAUCUUAACCCCUCCCUCAUUUAGCCUCCCAUAUUGGGUGGGGUAUUUGUUCUCGGGACCUUCUACACCUAACCGCGCUCCCUCGGAGCCCGACGAGCGUUUGACGACUCCAUCCUUUAUGUCCGGCGUUGGAAUCCAGCCCGAGGUUCCGCCGCGAAAAGGAAGGGCGGGUUGUGUUGUUUUUAAAAUACAUUCUCAGAAACACUCCUUCCUGUCCUUUUGUUCGACUGUCACUGACCAAAGCGAGAGAAAGAAACACGCAACUGUUUUUUUUUUUUUAUUAUUAUUAUUGAUGAAGAAACUCCAGCGAUGUCCAGGUCGGUGGGAUCUGUUGCACUUUUUUUUUUUCUUCUUUUUUUUUUGCAACUUUAACAAAAAAAUCUAGAAUUAUCACUCAGAUUC